rnacentral:lncRNA from 1 species
AGGAGCUGCAGGUGGUGUCCGUGGGCCUGCUGGUGAUCGGUGGUGUUGGCGGUCAGCGUGGCAGCGACCUGUGAGAUCAGGUUCCUGCUGCUGACGGUGAGUCAGCGUAACGUCUGAUGCUGCAUUCAGGUCACGUGGGAAAAUGCUGCGACCACAUCCAGGGCUCAGUCAGGUGUUUUUUACCUGUGUCCCUCGGCUGAUGUGUGGUGGGUUUCCCCCCCCCAGGUGCUGCUGAUUGGCUGAGCAACACCUACAUCCAGAGUCUGAACCUGACGAGUCCAGACGUGCUUCCGUGUUCCUGCUUUCACUCGUUUCAGCGCAGCUGCUGAACCUCACUCUGAUUGGCCAAGGGAGCGGCAUGAGCUCGCUCCUGAGGGGGCGCCGGCAGCUCUAAACCUGCUGUGUUUCAUAUCGCUGGUGUGAUGUGAUGUUUUACCCAUGAUGCUGCUGGGUUUGUGGUUUUCAGGGCUGCAGUCAGACGUUCAGUGAUUGGCUGCAGGAGAACUCCCUGACCAUCAUCGCCAUGGACGUCGCCCUGCAGUUACUGCAGGUAGUAACACUGCACUGCCUGCAGAGGGUGCAAACACACCUUUGUCACAGUCUGAGGGUUUUUAUGUGUCUUCACUGAGUCACCAGCAGAUCACUUUGACGUGUCAGCACUUCCUGUCUGCUUCUGAUUGGAUGGUUUUGAAUCAACAUGGCUGCCUGUUUGUGGUUAUAUGACAUAAAUAUUUAUUAAGGGUGAAGAAGAAAGAAGAUCAGCGCAGCUCUGUAUCUGUUAGUAGAUGAGGUACUGAGGUAGGUACUGAGACCAAGCAGCACAAACUGCAGUUCCUCCAGUGUCCACUAGAGGCUGUCUCAUACAGUGAGUCUGGAUGGUAACCUUAUGUUACUCUAGCUCCAUCACACUGAGUGUUUCCGCCUCUCUGCAGGUGGCGCUGUUCGUCAUGGCGGUGUAUCUGUACCGUGCAUUUGGAGAAGGCCGCGCUCUGAAACGGACCGAUCUGCUGGCUGGCAGAGACCACGCCCCCACCGAUGACCUGGGGGAGCUGAACUACACCUACAAUGACCAGGGUGUGUCGUGUCCUCACAGGGUAUACCCCGCCUCUCACCCAAAGCUAGCUAGGCUAGGCUCCAGCCCCCCGUGACCCUCCACUGCAG